rnacentral:rRNA from 1 species
CCUACGGGGGGCAGCAGUGGGGAAUAUUGGACAAUGGGCGAAAGCCUGAUCCAGCCAUGCCGCGUGUGUGAAGAAGGCCUUCGGGUUGUAAAGCACUUUCAGUGGGGAAGAAAGCCUUGGGGCUAAUACCCUCGAGGAAGGACAUCACCCACAGAAGAAGCACCGGCUAACUCCGUGCCAGCAGCCGCGGUAAUGCGGAGGGUGCGAGCGUUAAUCGGAAUUACUGGGCGUAAAGCGCGCGUAGGCGGUCUGAUAAGCCGGUUGUGAAAGCCCCGGGCUCAACCUGGGAACGGCAUCCGGAACUGUCAGGCUAGAGUGCAGGAGAGGAAGGGAGAAUUCCCGGUGUAGCAGUGAAAUGCGUAGAGAUCGGGAGGAAUACCAGUGGCGAAGGCGGCCUUCUGGACUGACACUGACGCUGAGGUGCGAAAGCGUGGGUAGCAAACAGGAUUAGAUACCCCAGUAGUC